ACGCUCGACACCUACGGGGAGGCAGCAGGUGGGGAAUAUUGCACAAUGGGGGAAACCCUGAUGCACGACGGACCGCCGCGGUCGAGGCGAAGAAGUAUUUCGGUAGUAGUAAGCUCUAUCAACGCGAGGGUAAGAAACUGGAACGGUACCUGACUAAGAAGCCACCGCUAAUUACGGUAGUCAGCAGCCGGNGUAGUCUAGGCGGCGGGCCUAGGCAAGGC
rnacentral:rRNA from 1 species